rnacentral:rRNA from 2 species
UCACACCCGUUCCCAUACCGAACACGGAAGUUAAGCUCUCUAGCGCCGAUGGUAGUUGGGACCUUGUCCCUGUGAGAGUAGGACGUCGCCAAGCA